GGUGAACGCUAGCGGUGCGCCUAACACAUGCAAGUCGAGCGGUAGAAUUUUCUAGCUUGCUAGAAAAUUUGAGAGCGGCGAACGGGUGAGUAACACGUUGGAAUCUGCCCCCAAGUCAGGGAUAGCCAUUAGGAAACGAUGAUUAAUACCGGAUGUGCUCUUCGGAGUAAAGAUUUAUCGCUUGGGGAGGAUCCUGCGUACUAUCAGCUUGUUGGUGAGGUAACUGCUCACCAAGGCUAUGACGGUUAACUGGUCUGAGAGGAUGAUCAGUCACAAUGAAACUGAGACACGGUUUCAUACUCCUACGGGAGGCAGCAGUGAGGAAUCUUCACAAUGGACGAAAGUCUGAUGGAGCGACACCGCGUGAAGGAUGACGGU
rnacentral:rRNA from 1 species